CCUACGGGUGGCUGCAGUGAGGAAUAUUGGUCAAUGGGCUUACGCCUGAACCAGCAACGCCGCGUGAACGAGACGCCCUUCGGGGUGUAAAGUUCUGUCAGUGGGGACGAAAAAUGACGGUACCCACAGAGGAAGCACCGGCUAACUCCGUGCCAGCAGCCGCGGUAAUACGGAGGGUGCAAGCGUUGUCCGGAAUCAUUGGGCGUAAAGAGUUCGUAGGCGGCAUGUAAAGUCAGGUGUUAAAGGCGCAGGCUCAACCUGUGUAUGGCACUUGAUACUUGCAAGCUGGAAUGCGGUAGAGGUAAAGGGAAUUCCUGGUGUAGCGGUGAAAUGCUGAGAUAUCAGGAGGAACAUCGGUGGCGUAAGCGCUUUACUGGGCCGUAAUUGACGCUGAGGAACGAAAGCCAGGGUAGCAAAUGGGAUUAGAUACCCUUGUAGUC
rnacentral:rRNA from 1 species